UCAUAUACAAAUUUAUAAUAAUUUAUAAAUAUUAAUCAUGUGGUUAAUUAUGAGUUUGGGCCGAAUCCAAUAUGGACCCAAAACUCAUAUUAAAUAAUAAGUCAAGGUUGAGUCUACUAAUCUAGGCCCGAACCCAAAAGUCCGAAAGCCCGAAAUCCUCAUUUAGUUUUGAGUUGACUUCAGGCUUGCCAAAAUUCAGUUGAUGAAACCUAAUUGAAACUCUGAGAAGAAUAAAUCACAACUGAUAAUCUUCUAAAUCACAACUGCCCCAAGCUCCAAUCUGAACGAGGAAAAUUGGGAAUUAGUGAGCUCCCACCCAAUCUUCACUCCCACUUAUCUGAGGGAAAGGACAUUGCGUGGACAUGGAACGAACCCAGGAGAAGUAGACUCAAGAGACAUCUUGGGAAUGCUACACAUGUGGACAACCAGUACCUAACUGAGCAUCACGAUGGAUCUGGAUCCAUUCAACAUGAAUGGACAAUUGCAAGGGAACCCAAAUCAUUUACAAAGGACCGAAGACGGAAGAAAUGGAGUGGAAGACCGUCAAUCAGCGAUUGGAGAAGGAAACGGAAUGGCCCUUCCAGAAACGGAAUUGGGUUCAAACAGACAUCAUCGAAGAAGAUGGGCAGGAGAGUCUCUUUCUCUAUCCCCUUAACCUUGGGAAUAGACUGGCGAGAAGAAGCCAGGAAGUUCAUUUUUCCCACACCCGGAGUCACAGGAACAGAACUAAAAAUCAAGAUAGACAGAGAAGAGGAGGCUCACCAUAUGGAUUUCAUAAUGAGAGCCUGGCCAAUAUUAGAGAGGUUCAGAGGCAUAGAAGAGAGUGGCCAGAUCGUGGAAUCAGGGGAGACGGACUCUCAGGCAGGUGAUGCAUACACCAGGGGUCAAUCUGCUCAAGAAGUUUAGCCAAAUGAAGAUUAUCACAUGGAAUGUGCGUGGUGCUGGUAGUACCACAUUCAGAAAUCACUUUUUGGAUAUCUGUGAUAUACAUCAACCGGCUAUAGUUACAGUGGCAGAAACUAAAAUAGGGGGACAAGCAGCUGCUAACAUGUGCGAAAGCCUACCUUUUCAUGGGUAUGAGAUUGUUGAUUCAGUUGGAAGGAAAGGUGGCCUAUGGCUUUUAUGGAACCAAAACGAUGUUCGGGUCAACAUUAUUAGUAAAACAGAGCAAGAAAUCCACGCUACAGUCCAGGUAUCAUCUGAUACCCCCUCUUGGCUUCUUUCUGCAGUUUAUGCUAGUCCAAAUUUUAGCAAUAGGAUGAUUUUGUGGGAUAAUCUGAAAUUUGUUGCAUCCCAGAACUCCCUCCCCUAGUUAUGCCUUGGUGAUUUUAAUGAAAAACUUUCCAAUGUGGAUAAGAGAGGAGGUAAACCCAUUAAUCAAAAUCAUGCUUCAAUAUUUCAGAAGUGUCUAGACUCUUGUGAUUUGUUAGACAUGGGGUUUUCUGGCCCAAAAUUCACUUGGCUUAACAAGCGUUUU
rnacentral:lncRNA from 1 species